GACAGUGCCACGACCGAGGGUGCACAUGGACCUGCUCUAGUUAGGUCUCUUUUGUUGUAAAUAUCUCUUUUUUUACUUUAUGUAUUUUUGGUUGUGAUUCUCUAGCAAAGUUAUGUCUAGUCCCGUAACUUGGGUUUUUAUUUUUAAAGCAUUAUUAGGGGGGAUCAAGCAAUCAAAACUUUCAAGCAAGCAAUCAAUUCUUUGUACUGGUGUCUCUCCCCCUCGACACCGCUUGCUCUCAUUGUAAUAGCUUUCAUUAAUGCAAACAAGCUCUCUUUC